rnacentral:rRNA from 1 species
CACGUAGUUAGCCGGUGCUUAUUCUUACGGUACCGUCAUGACUCCAGGGUAUUAACCCGAAGCUUUUCGUUCCGUACAAAAGCAGUUCACAACCCGAAGGCCUUCAUCCUGCACGCGGCAUUGCUGGAUCAGGCUUUCGCCCAUUGUCCAAAAUUCCCCACUGCUGCCUCCCGUAGGAGUCUGGGCCGUGUCUCAGUCCCAGUGUGGCUGGUCGUCCUCUCAGACCAGCUACAGAUCGUCGGCUUGGUAAGCUUUUAUCCCACCAACUACCUAAUCUGCCAUCGGCCGCUCCAGUUGCGCAAGGUCUUACGAUCCCCUGCUUUCAACCUCAGUUCUCAUGCGGUAUUAGCUACUCUUUCGAGUAGUUAUCCCCCACAACUGGGCACGUUCCGAUGUAUUACUCACCCGUUCGCCACUCGCCACCAGACCGAAGUCCGUGCUGCCGUUCGACUUGCAUGUGUAAAGCAUGCCGCCAGCGUUACAAUCUGACGCCAGGAUCUAAA